rnacentral:rRNA from 1 species
UACGUAGGGUGCGAGCGUUAAUCGGAAUUACUGGGCGUAAAGGGUGCGCAGGCGGUUUUGUAAGCCAGAUGUGAAAUCCCCGGGCUUAACCUGGGAACUGCGUUGGAAACUUUGAGACUGGAGUGCGGCAGAGGGGGGUGGAAUUCCAUGUGUAGCAGUGAAAUGCGUAGAGAUAUGGAGGAACACCGAUGGCGAAGGCAGCCCCCUGGGUUGACACUGACGCUCAUGCACGAAAGCGUGGGGAGCAAACAGG